GGUCGCCCAAUUCGUGAGUAUAGGCUUGGCAGUUGUGAUAACUCGGCUAGCUCACCACUUUGGUUUAAACUUGGUUUUAUGAUUUUAACUAAGUUAUUGAAAUGGUUUUCCGGAUUAUGUUUUAAAAGUGGGAACUCAAUUGGACUUGACUAUCGUAUGACUUUGGUUAUGUUGAAUAUGUAUGAUUACUCUACUUCGGUUAAUGCUUUGACAUUUUGGCUAAAUAUGUGUAGUUACAUAUUGAUGGUGUGUACUUUGGAUUGGUUGAUAUCUGUGCUAGUCCUACGUGUUGUCUAGUACUCUCUAGAGUUAGGGGAUGAUAUUAAUUAUGUUUUAUGCCUUCUUUUAGACACGUCGACUGCUCGUGCUUCGGAGUCGAAAAAGGUUUAGUUGCUUGCCAGGUUUUUCACGUGGAUUUGCAAGCAGUUUAUGAUUUGAAAGCUGGUCCACUCCGAUUCUUUUGAUUCCUCGGAGGUUUUUAUGUUAUUUAAACUAGUUUCUGUUUUCAAACUCUUAGACCGCAGUAGAACUAGUUAUUUAUUUCAUUUGAUACUACACUUUGGGAUUGUCGAUAUAUUCGAUUAUUAUAUUUGGCAUGAUUACUCUGGAUUACGAUAUUGUUAUAUAUAAGGCAUGAUGUUGAACAUUUAA